CUGUUUGUACAUUCUUAAAUAAUUUUCUAUACACAGGAGCAGUGCCAGUCACAUUAGAUAUAGCACAGGAUCUCCUCAGAGCUGCAGAUUGGUAUUUGUUAAGAGGGGCUAAACCGUUUAUACAGGUACACCGUUGCAGAGGUGAGCAAAGUUCAGUUUGAUCCGUCUGUUCGUUGUUUUUUCAAGAUGGUUUUAUCGUCCUAAUGAUAAUUAUUCUGACUAGAGUAUAUCAUUGGACAAUGUCGCGAACAUGACUGUUACAGGCCUUUCAUGCUCUUUCAUUAAGACAUAGAUACAUAAAGUUUAUUUUGGAGUAGGUUGGUAAAUUGAGUUAUAAGAGAGGGUAGGCUUCUUCCUCCGGCUCGAUAAAAUUUUAGAAUAUGGCAGUCAGUUGAAAAGCAUAAUCAUGAGUCCUGACAGAUUUCCAUUGGGAAAUAGAUUCCAAUUUGGUGGACAAUAUUGUGUUUCUUUAAAAAAUUAAUCAAGAGGAAAUGUAAAGCAACAUGUGGAAUUUGUAUUUAGGCCCCUAGGAAAAGGAUUUCAAGCUUUACUUGACGAAGAUAUCUUAUGUGGAUUAGAUAGCUAAUGUCUAAUUUUUAAGUUUUCUUUAAUGUGCAGGAUUUCUUUGUUCUAUGUUGUGUAUAUCUCAUUGCCGAAGAAAUAAUGAAAGUUGGCUUCGUAUCUCAUUGCCGAAGAAAUCUUUGCAAUAAAAGACAACAGAUUCGUUGGUGUUCCAUAUAGACAACACAAUGAGGCUUCAGGGUUAGGAAUUGGUGAAGUUGUAGUGCAUGAGGAUACUGUCAAAUCAUUUUCUGGUAAUGGUGUUGAGUCAUCUUUGGAUGUACGGACAAUCUGAUAAGCUGGUAAAUUUUUAAUGUUAUCUUAGAAUCAUGUUUGCUUUCUUUCUAUAUUUAGGUGGAGAGGGGUGGGGAUGUAUGCUGAUGCCUUUGGGAAAAAAAUGUGAUGCAUGAUAGUCUCAGCAUUGUAUCGUUUUGGUAUAUAAAGACUGGGUUAUUUUUUUGAAAAGGAUUUUAUCCAUGACCUUACCAUCGAUGUGUGAAUAUAAUAUGGCUAUAGGUACGUAGUAGCUUAAUAUUGGAUUCAAAUGAAACUGUUUUACUUCCUCUGAUUUUGCUGUAUCAGAGAUUCCUUUCUGUCUUUCAAGUCAAAGAAGGAAAAAGAAAAUGAAAAAAAGAUUAUAUGGAGUGGGAAAUGGGAUAAACAAACAACCCCAGCUCAUUGCAUAUAUUCUUCAACGCAACUCACUUCUGGUUUCAAAUUUGGAGUGUGAACAGUGGACAGGAACAGCCACUACAAAUCAUACUGAGAAUCAAAGCGAAUACGCAAUUUUAGGAAGAUUAUAUAACUUAUAACCCACGAUCUCAUUUUCACAUCUUAGUUUGGAGAAAAAUAUUUCUGCUCAAUAAAAUGAAUCAGCAGAAAUUCCAAAACCAAAAAAUUGGAAUUAGCACUUUCAAAAGAUGCAAAUCCUUGGCUAAAAUGGACUCCAAUGCUUCACCAAUAUUUAAUCGAAGCGGUUACUGAGGAGGGACGGAAAUAGGUUUAGUGGCUCUCUCUGUUGAGUUAUGUAAAUUUGUAUUGCUUUUAAUAAACUAUUAAUCCUUUUAUUGUUUUGAUGUAGGGAGGAGCAACACCAAAAAGUCUGAUGAGGAUGAUGGGUAUUACUUACCAGAUUGACUUGGUACCAUCUGAAGAGUCAUUUAAAGAAUUACAUGCAUUAUUAUUUUUUUGUAGAGUUUUUUGUUUCAUCUAUUUUUCCAUACAAAAUAUAUUCUUUGUAAAAAUGAAUCGAUAUCUUUUAUACAAAAAUAUAGGCCUGUGAAGAGUCAAUGGUCAAGAUCCUGCAUUUUGAUAAUGAGUAAGAAGGUGAGAUACUUUUCUAAUGCAAAGUUUGUGGGGCAUUUCUCUAAUUGAUGGUAUUUAUGAGAAAUUUGUUAAAUGUAGAUAACAUAGAAAGUGAGAUUGAAGGUGGCCAUAUGAAUGGGAAGCCGGGAAGGUAGACGAUAGAAUACACACAAAGCAAU
rnacentral:lncRNA from 1 species